UUGACCUCGGAUCAGGUAGGAAUACCCGCUGAACUUAAGCAUAUCAAUAAGCGGAGGAAAAGAAACCAACAGGGAUUGCCUUAGUAACGGCGAGUGAAGCGGCAACAGCUCAAAUUUGAAAUCUGGCCCUUGGGUCCGAAUUGUAAUUUGUAGAGGAUGAUUUUGGUGCGGUAUCUUCCGAGUUCCUUGGAACAGGACGCCUUAGAGGGUGAGAGCCCCGUACGGUUGAAUGCCUAGCCUCUGUAAAUCUCCUUCGACGAGUCGAGUAGUUUGGGAAUGCUGCUCUAAAUGGGAGGUAAAUUUCUUCUAAAGCUAAAUAUUGGCCAGAGACCGAUAGCGCACAAGUAGAGUGAUCGAAAGAUGAAAAGCACUUUGAAAAGAGGGUUAAAUAGCACGUGAAAUUGUUGAAAGGGAAGGAUUUGUGACCAGACUUUUUCUGGGCGGAUCAUCCGGGGUUCUCUCCGGUGCACUUCGCCCAGUAAAGGCCAGCAUCGGUUUUCGGCGUGGGAUAAAAGCAGUAGGAAUGUGGCUCUCUACGGGGAGUGUUAUAGCCUAUUGUAUAAUACCGCGCUGGGGACCGAGGUUCGCGCUCUGCAAG
rnacentral:rRNA from 2 species